rnacentral:rRNA from 1 species
UGGUGGGGUGACUUGUCUGCUUAAUUGCGAUAACGAACGAGACCUUAACCUGCUAAAUAGCCCGCAUUGCUCCGGCAGUGCGCUGGGCUUCUUAGAGGGACUUUCGGCUCAAGCCGAAGGAAGUUUGAGGCAAUAACA